rnacentral:rRNA from 1 species
AGGGCACCACCAGGAGUGGAGCCUGCGGCUUAAUUUGACUCAACACGGGAAAACUCGCCCGGCCCGGACACUGGGAGGAUUGACAGAUUGAGAGCUCUUUCUUGAUUCAGUGGGUGGUGGUGCAUGGCCGUUCUUAGUUGGUGGAGCGAUUUGUCUGGUUAAUUCCGAUAACGAACGAGACUCUAGCCUACUAAAUAGACGGAGAGGCCUGUGGAUGGUACCGGUUUCGGCCGGUGGCUUGACACUUUGGUCCUGCUUCGCUCUUUGCUUCUUAGAGGGACAGUCGGCGAUUCAGCCGGACGAGACAGAGCAAUAACAGGUCUGUGAUGCCCUUAGAUGUCCGGGGCCGCACGCGCGCUACACUGAAGUGCGCAACGUGCUUAUUUAUGUUCCCUGCCUGAGAUGGCUGGGUAACCCAAUGAACAUUCUUCGUGAUAGGGAUUGAGCAUUGUAACUAUUGCUCAUGAACGAGGAAUUCCCAGUAAGCGUGAGUCAUUCAGCUCGCGUUGAUUACGUCCC